CAAAAUAAAAUCCCAAAAUGAAAAGAAAGAAAAACUGAAUAAUUGCUUAGAUUACUGCAGGCUGCGCCAUGAUAAUAGUUCAUUUUUUAGGUUGAAAUUCCAUUAAAAUGUGCCAGUGUGACACAGUGAUGCCCUUUAUGCCAGUGAGGUAUUGGCCGGAGCACAAUGAGUGCCUGUGGGACAGUGGCCGCACCGCUGCUCAGGGUCCCAGGGCACUGACAAGCACUGUGUGCUCAUUUAAAGCCCCUCAUCAAUCAGUGUUUUGUUAAGCAGCCUGUUCCCGCAGAGCAUUUCUCCGGAAUGAAACAUGGAGAGACCAAUGUGCACCCAGCACUGUGUCAGCUGAUGGCAACUUCAGUGUGUCCUGGGAAUCGUGCCCGCCACAGACAGCCAGGUGAUUAGUGCCAGCCGGAGAGGCACAGACUAAGCUCCACUCAGCAGGCAGAUUCCUUCUCCCAACAGCAGGUCAUGUGUCUCCUUAAUCCAGCAUGGAAAGAGGUCACAUCCAUAAGCACCAGAGACUCCUGCCAUCUCUUUCCUGAGUGUACAGAUGGGCACAGAGACAAGCUCACCACACUGCUGCCCAGCCUUGGGAGGAACCUGGUUUUUGUUUUUUGGGGUUUCUGGGAGGGAGAGGUGUGCACAUGGCACAUCUGCUAAAAGGCACUCCACCUAGAAAAGACUACAACAAAAACAAGAGACAGCAACACCCAGAGCUGAAGGGGAAGGAAGGGAGGUGCUCUGAAACUCUGCAAUUCUUCAAAUGCGCUCUCAUACUGACUGAGAUAACUGGGCUUAACCCCUUGGUGGUGCACCCCACUGACCAUGAUAUCAUGAUACUCAGCUGCUGUAACUGGGAGUGUGACACCUAUUUCUGGGACUUACCUAGGGGGUGUUGGGGGCUUUUAAUCCCCCAAUGCUCAUAUGGGUUAACUAUCAGUAGAACUUCGGGUCACUCUUUCGCCUGCUAACAAUUUACGAAAAGGGCAGUAUUUACACCUUCUGUGGUUGUUUGCUUUUUAACUAUGUACCCCUGUUAGAUAAUAUUAGCCAAAAAAAACAGUGUUAAAUAGGCAUAAAUAAAGUAAGUUUUGUCAGUGAGAAAGUUCUUAAAUCAGAAAAA